UUUUGGAGGAAAGACAAAGCUGACCGGGAGUCACAAGGCUACUCUCUUUGCUCCCUGUCUGCUUUGCCUGCAGCAUUAGACAGCCAGUGUGGAUCUGAACAGCUUUCUUCCCAAGCUGAGAAGUGGAUAAUCCAGAUGAUCACUGUCCCUGCCAUCUGAGAACAAGCUGAGGCAGUUUCGAGAGGAGCUUGGGGAAGGUGUCAGCACCAUGAGCUGCUGUGGGACCUUCACUGCUGCUCUGUUCUUGGAGCUGGAGAUGUCCUGGACCAUUCCUCUACCUUUGAAGAUGCUUGCUGAGCAGCCGGGAAAGCACUGAUGUUGAGGAAUGGGAG